rnacentral:rRNA from 1 species
GGCGUAGGGCGCGAGCGUUGUCCGGAUUUAUUGGGCGUAAAGAGCUCGUAGGCGGCUUGUCGCGUCAACUGUGAAAACCCGUGGCUCAACCAUGUGGUCUGCAGUCGAUACGGGCAGGCUAGAAUUCGGUAGGGGAGACUGGAAUUCCUGGUGUAGCGGUGAAAUGCGCAGAUAUCAGGUAGAACACCGGUGGCGAAGGCGGGUCUCUGGGCCAUUACUGACGCUGAGGAGCGAAAGCGUGGGGAGCGAACAGG